UGAACGCUGGCGGCAGGCCUACCACAUGCAAGUCGAACGGUAACAGGAAACAGCUUGCUGUUUCGCUGACGAGUGGCGGACGGGUGAGUAAUGUCUGGGAAACUGCCUGAUGGAGGGGGAUAACUACUGGAAACGGUAGCUAAUACCGCAUAACGUCGCAAGACCAAAGAGGGGGACCUUCGGGCCUCUUGCCAUCGGAUGUGCCCAGAUGGGAUUAGCUAGUAGGUGGGGUAACGGCUCACCUAGGCGACGAUCCCUAGCUGGUCUGAGAGGAUGACCAGCCACACUGGAACUGAGACACGGUCCAGACUCCUACGGGAGGCAGCAGUGGGGAAUAUUGCACAAUGGGCGCAAGCCUGAUGCAGCCAUGCCGCGUGUAUGAAGAAGGCCUUCGGGUUGUAAAGUGCUUUCAGCGGGGAGGAAGGGAGUAAAGUUAAUACCUUUACUCAUUGACGUUACCCGCAGAAGAAGCACCGGCUAACUCCGUG
rnacentral:rRNA from 1 species